rnacentral:misc_RNA from 1 species
AUUUCCCGUGAUGAUACCGUAAGGAGAACUUCCACGCGAAACAUAGUGCAACCAAAUAUUGAGGCGUGCAGCCGAAUCCUUGGAGAAAAUGGACAAGGACCGAAAACAGGAGAAAAGGCCAUUGGCCGGAAAUAUUGCUGCUGCCCCUGCCUCCCCGUCAAGCUCCUUUAGUUUGGCUCAAGCCUCCAAGUCGAUUCUUGCAGGUGGAAUCACGGGAGGUUUAGAGAUCUGUAUAACAUUUCCGACGGAGUACGUGAAGACACAGCUCCAGCUAGACGAGCGGUCGGGGGUACAGAAGCGGUACACGGGUCCGGUCAACUGUGUAUCUGUGACGGUCAGGGACUACGGAGUGAGGGGUCUAUACAGGGGACUCAGCGUCCUUCUAUACGGCUCUAUUCCUAAAUCCGCCGUCAGGUUUGGUGCUUUUGAAGAGCUAAAACGGUUUAACGUGGAUGAAAAUGGUAACCUUAGUCCAUCAAAACGAGUGCUGUGUGGUCUGGUAAUUGGUUGUCUUUGACAUCUACAAAAUGUAAAUUCUACACAUAUUUCUUGUAUUGGAUUCCCUUCAAUAUGGACACCUUGGUUUACCUUUGACAGGUGCUGGUGUAUCGGAAGCUAUAUUAGCUGUCACACCUAUGGAGACACUCAAGGUUAAGUUUAUCAAUGACCAGACAUCAGCGAACCCCCAUUACAGAGGAUUCUUUCAUGGAGUCAGCCAGAUUAUAAAAGAGCAAGGUAUAAGAGGUGUGUACCAGGGCGUUGUUCCUACAAUACUUAAGCAGGGCUCUAAUCAGGCCAUUAGAUUUUUUGUGAUGGAAUCCCUCAAGAACUGGUACCGAGAGGGUGACCCCAAGAAACCAGUGCCUGUGUAUAUUGUGGGGGCGUUUGGAGCUUUUGCAGGGGCGUGCUCAGUGUUUGGUAACACACCUAUUGAUGUCAUCAAAACUAGGUUACAGGGCCUUGAAGCUCAUAAGUACAAAGGCACGAUAGAUUGUGCUGUGCAGAUAUUUAAACAUGAGGGACCUAGAGCGUUCUACAAAGGCACAGUACCUAGGUUAAGUCGCGUUUGUUUAGAUGUGGCCAUUACUUUUAUGAUAUAUGAUUCUGUGAUGGAGGUCUUCAACCGAGUGUGGAAAUGGUAAUUCAAAGCUGUGAUCUCGUUUACCAAGUUAUUUAUCAGGGAAACCAAUCUAUAAACUGGUUGUGUGCUGCACAUGAACCAGCCAAACUGGACAGAAACCAACCGCCAUCAUAGUGCUAUAAACCAGGCAUUAGAACUUAUGCAAUAUCAGACUUAUAGAAUGAUAUCAGAAAGCUGAUGUCAGCUUUUACACUUUUGUUUUUUAAUUAUAUUUUAUUCAAGUCUACGUAGAAGUAAACCAAGAAUUAUAUAAAAAUCAGCAGGCUAGAUGCCCAUGUAAAUCUUUCACGUUCUCACUUCAACAUUAUCUUCUGUUUGACACGCAAUAUUUUAAAGGGGGCUAUCUGUUCGCCAUGCUUCCACUUUACAAAGAAUACAGUGUAUUGUAGAUGUUGUAUUUUUGUGCUAAAAGUAUUACACAAAUGUGGUUUUCUCAGUGAUUAAGAGGUGUGACUGCUGUCUACAAAUAUUAAUCUGUCACCGCCGUAACAUUCAGGCUUCACUGUACUGGGAUAGUUUCCGUGGGAUUUUUCUUAAUAUAUUUAUCUUUGCUUUUGUUUAUGCUAUUAUACGUCCUUGAAGGUCUCUGUAGUUAGUAAAUGUACUUACUUGUGAUUAUUUUAUGCUAUGUAAUUUAAUUUCCCUUUCAGGGCCUCAUGUAAUGUAGUUCAUAUAUUUAUAAGUGCUGCAAUAAUUUCUGUUUUACAUUUUGUUGAGAACUAUUGUAAAUGAUGAUCUAGAGAUGAGUUUGGUAUGACUGUGGUGUAUAUGAGAGCUAUUCCAACUUGUGCUUGCUGCAUUCCAUACUCUUUAUCAAAAGAUGUUAGUGUUUUUGUCAUGUGAUGACAAAUAUUGUAAGCUGGACUUAUAUCCCAGAAUUCCUAUUACUUGUUGUGCAAGGCAAAUACAUGUAUUUCAGGGUUUUUCCCUGCAACACGAAAAAUUCGCUGAUAAUUACAUUGUUAUUAAUCAUUAUCGUGUACAUCAUCUCUGACUUUGUAGAAGUAAUGGAAAAUGCUAUGAAUUCAUUCAUUAGUUAUACAUGUAUAUUGGUGGAUAUUUUUGGUGCAAUUUGGGUUAUUUUCAUUAGCAGACCAGAAUCAGUGAUUCGUUUAGGUAUAGAGAAGCAUGCAAUUCCUUUCUUUGUAGAUCUUUAUUUUUUACAUUGUUGAGGCCAUAUACAUAUAUAUGUAUGUAAGAUGUUCCUGUCUCUACACUUACCUGGUUACCAUAGAGAUGUACCUAAGUAUGCAAAUCCAUCAUCAUUCAGUUUUUAAAGAUUAUAUUCAAGCAAACUAGUAUUUUAUUGAAAACCUUGCAUUUAAUUUUUGAGGUAGUUGUACAUAGAACGGUAGUUUUACCACAAAUUUCUAAAGUCACAAUUUGCUGUAUAAUCAACCAGUCGUAAACUAACCCCAACCUCCUUAAUUAACUUCAUAGCUUUACGUGUUGUUGGUGACAAUGUUUUAAGUCACUGGACAAUCAAUGGUGCAAUAUUCUCUGGUGCACUUGUAAAUUCUUCAAUCAGAGAACCAGUUUAUGGCACAUUGCCAAUGGAAUUCUUUGCUCUACUAACUCUGGAACUAUGGGAAACUUACACAUGUCACUAAUGCCUCACAGAUUUAUCCUUGUAUUACCAGUAUUAUAGCUCUGUAUAUUUAUUGAAUCAUGCGUAUAGAUUUUAUUUUUGUAGCAUUGGAUUGUUAUGUUAAGUGAUAUAUAUUUUUUCAGUUUACAUGGUUUAUAACAUCAUAUUUAUUUAAAUUUUAUUGCAAUGAAGGUUAAAACCACAUCUUUAACGCCAAACUACGGCAUAUGUGUGUAAAGUAUGUAAUUCAAGAUAGUGUUCAUAAUAUAAACCUAGUAAUUGAAAUGAAAUUAUGAAUGUGAUAUGAUCAAAUGAAAUAUGAAAGUGAAAUAUAUACAUUAACAAAUG